rnacentral:lncRNA from 1 species
ACCCAAGUCCUAGUUGAACUAGGAUUAGUUUUUCCUUGCACUUGGCUUAUCCAAUAAACCAAUUGGACUUGAUCCAAUCAAGUCCAAACUAAAUCUAAUUAAAUUAUAUUUAAUUAGACUUAAUCUCAGCCCAUUGGCUUAAUCAAAUUAAGUCAAUUAGCAAUCGAAUUGCUAAUCGAUCCUCCUGCAACACUUGCACUGGGUUAAAUGUCAAUCGUAUUGAUCAUUUAACCCUAGAACAAUUUUUAAUCGUUGAUCAACCAUCCGAUCGGAUCAUGAACUCUAAUGUGUGUGACCUCAUAGGUCUGAACCUAAGUCGAUAGCACAGGAAUAAAUUCUUUUACCAAUCAAAGUGACCAUCUAGUAAUGGUACCUGACGAUCAGAUAGGUCGAAUGUGUAGAACAACAUCCUUAGAACCCAUGCGGAUAUAGUUUUCAUAUAAUUCAUCCCCUUGACCAAAAUGAUCAUAGGAUACCCCAGAGUUCAACUGUCAACUCUGAUUAGGUUGUCCACAUUGUAUUUCAAAAUAUCAAAUCCAUCUGAUGGAUUACCCUGGCCAAGGUUUUGCUAAAUUGAAAUACAGCGACUCAUUCUUCUCCAACUCUUGGAGUGGUCAAUCCCAUCUUGAUCACACUCUGACUUCCCC